AUACAGAGGGUGCUUCCCAAGCUUUGUGAAGGAAAGGAGAAGCUCUGUGGGAAGGAAAAAGACGGAAGUGGGGAGAGGAAAAGAGAAGCAGCAGGUAGCAAGGUUUGCCUUGUGUAGGUCAUGACUUAUUCAAGUUUUGCUGGACAUGUGUUUUAGGGCCUUGUUUUCGCCAUCAACGCACAGAUCUGAGGGCGGCCUAGUGAGCACAUCCCCCCACCUCCCCCCACCGCAGGAGUGUUUGUGUUGGAGGCGGGAGUGUUAAAUUCCAACCUCAGCACAACUCUUGAAGACUCUGCCAGUUCAGGGGCAAGAAACCAAUUGGGUGUUGUGCCUAAGAACGUGGACCCUGUGGCCAGACUGCUUGGAUCAGUGUCCUCCCUCCACCACUUUGUAGCC
rnacentral:lncRNA from 1 species